UGGGGAAUUUUGCGCAAUGGGGGAAACCCUGACGCAGCAACGCCGCGUGAGUGAUGAAGGCUUUCGGGUCGUAAAGCUCUGUCUAGAGGGAAGAAAUGAUAUUCGGUUAAUACCCGGAUUUCUUGACGGUACCUCUGAAGGAAGCACCGGCUAACUCCGUGCCAGCAGCCGCGGUAAUACGGAGGGUGCAAGCGUUGUUCGGAUUUAUUGGGCGUAAAGCGCGUGUAGGCGGUUUGUUAAGUCUGAUGUGAAAGCCCUGGGCUCAACCUGGGAAGUGCAUUGGAAACUGGCAGACUUGAAUACGGGAGAGGGUAGUGGAAUUCCUAGUGUAGGAGUGAAAUCCGUAGAUAUUAGGAGGAACACCGGUGGCGAAGGCGGCUACCUGGACCGAUAUUGACGCUGAGACGCGAAAGCGUGGGGAGCAAACA
rnacentral:rRNA from 1 species